GCAUUAUCUCUCUCUCUUAUCUCUGGUGGGUUUUAUAGAGUCUAAGUGUCUCAUCCACUUCAUUGCCAAUAGGAGGGAUGUAAUAAGUGGGGGGAUGUGAUUAACAGCCAAACUGUAUGCCAAUGAAGUGUUAUUGUGUUCUAAUACAGGGAUUCAAGCCCCCAUUCUACCCUUAGGCAAUAAUGGAGUCCUCUGUGUAGCACAUGGCCUUUCACCAGGCAAAAUCAGUUGGUUUGUUGAUAAACUCCUCCUCCAUUCCCUUCCAAUGCAAUACCCCCAGGAGGCACUCUGGUUCUGUUACAUCCUAAGGGAUUGACUAAGGGAGGUGUGUCCAGCAGAAGGAGGGGCUAACCUGUUUAAAGCCCUGUGAAUAGCACAUUCUCUCUCUCUUUGAAUUACCUCUCUUCACCUUCUCUCUCCUCUCUCCCCUCUCCCAACUAUACACACCCUCUCUCUCUUACUCUCAGCUGCUGAUCAAUGGAGUGGUAACUGUAUCACGUGUCUAUGCCUGUUUUAUUAUGUUAAUUUAGCC